UUAAAAUCCGUCGACUUUAAAAAUCGUGAGG
rnacentral:tRNA from 4 species